GACAGGUGCUGUGUUCGCAUCGUUUGGCGUCUUUGUGGUUGUCAGUCGCUGGAAGAACGUGCUGCUUGUUCUGUGUGUGCGUUGUGGAAAUCGUUUCUGCUUGUGUUGGUGGAUUCUGAAAGACUGGUACAGCACAGUACGGUUACUCGUACUGACCAUGAGUCGUAAAGGCUGAACGACUGAUGCAACACGCGGUAUCUGACGCUGUAUACGAGUGCGGGGAUACUGUUGCUGCUCAUGCUGGCGAUGAAUGGGGAAUACUGAGAUACGCUUCACGGAAUGAAUGAAACGCGUUGGUGAUCCCUUCGAGUUUCCAGGUGCAGUUGAAAGCUAUUGGGAGGACUUGGCACCUGCACACAGUGCCAAAGCUACCAGUACCUGGUUUAAGGACCAUGGUAUCCCUGUUCUUAAUUGGCCAGCAAACUCGCCUGACCUUAACCUCAUAGAAAAUGUAUGGGGUAUUGUGAAGAGGAAGAUGUGAUAUGCCAGACCCAACAAUGCAGAAGAGCUGAAGGCCACUAUCAGAGCAACCUGGGCUCUCAUAACACCUGAGCAGUGCCACAGACUGAUCGACGCCAUGCCAUGCACUCCAAGUAUGAGUGCUGUACAUGCUCAUACUUUUCAUGUUCAUACUUUUCAGUUGGCCAAGAUUUCUAAAAAUCCUUUCUUUGUAUUGGUCUUAAGUAAUAUUCUAAUUUUCUGAGAUACUGAAUUUGGGAUUUUCAUUAGUUGUCAGUUAUAAUCAUCAAAUUAAAAGAAAUAAACAUUUGAAAUAUAUCAGUCUGUGUGUAAUGAAUGAAUAUAAUAUACA